AACGAACGCUGGCGGCAUGCCUAAUACAUGCAAGUCGAACGAGAUCUUCGGAUCUAGUGGCGCACGGGUGCGUAACGCGUGGGAAUCUACCCUUGGGUUCGGAAUAACAGUUAGAAAUGACUGCUAAUACCGGAUGAUGACGUAAGUCCAAAGAUUUAUCGCCCAAGGAUGAGCCCGCGUAGGAUUAGCUUGUUGGUGAGGUAAAAGCUCACCAAGGCGACGAUCCUUAGCUGGUCUGAGAGGAUGAUCAGCCACACUGGGACUGAGACACGGCCCAGACUCCUACGGGAGGCAGCAGUAGGGAAUAUUGGACAAUGGGGGCAACCCUGAUCCAGCAAUGCCGCGUGAGUGAUGAAGGCCUUAGGGUUGUAAAGCUCUUUUACCCGAGAUGAUAAUGACAGUAUCGGGAGAAUAAGCUCCGGCUAACUCCGUG
rnacentral:rRNA from 1 species